ensembl:lncRNA
CUCACUUUGAGACACUUCCUCCCUUUGAGUCACCUCGGGGCCUAAAAUAGCACUGUGGACCUCACUGUGUACUUCCCCUCCUGCACGUCACUUAGUGAUGUGCAUUGGACCACUCACCUACGGGUCCAUCUCAUACAAUCGAGUCAGCUGCCUUUCCAGAGGGAUGAAGCAUGCAUGGAGACUUGAGGAAGUGGGGAGGAUUGCACAAGAGAAGAAGUGCUAAACUGGAUCUCUUGUUCCUGCCUUAAUUCCUGUCACUUCUCAGAGCAGCCUACAGUCCUGCUGUGUGUGUGCAGCGCUCCUGGUGCGGCUUCAGAUUUGAAUAUCCUGGGGCUCUUCCGUUCUUGAUCCGGGCUUCAGCUCUGAGCCGGAGGUUGGUGUCGGUGUCCGAAGGACCGGCAGGGAGCACACAGCUGCACAGAUUCCUUAAAAGCAAAUGGAAGUCACAGAUGUACAAACAGAGGAAGGAUUUGGGCCAUUUUUGUUACAGUCUGAAGAAAAGUCAAAUAUAAUCUACCAGCACCAAGAUGCUGUGGUAUGUUUUACAACAUAUCACCCCAACACCAAGCGCUGUCCAUGAGUAACUCCUACAAACUUUUGCUGUAACAAGCCCUCCCCUUGUGUUUUUGGCAUGUUGUUCUCAUGGCUGGACAGUCUGUCUGUGUGUGGUCAGAGUUCUAUGUUCAAAUUUAUUUUGAAGUGAUGGAUUUUUGUCUUGUGCUUCACUUCUCUAACACUUUUUGGUGCUACCUCUUCCUUUCUUGGGAGGGAUAUAUUAGGAAAUGCCAUAAACAUAUGUUCCUAGCAUUUUAAUAAAUGGGAGAUCAGUGUUACAUGCUGACAAACAGAACUGUAUCAUCUGGGAUUCACUAUCUCUUCUUGGCAAUAAUCAAGUUCUCUGAUGAUAUGGAAAGUUAAACUCACCCUUUUUCAUUUGCCAAAGCAAAUUCCUUUUUUUGUUGUUCCUAAUAGCAGGUUCUCUAUGAUAAAGCAAAGAAGAAUACAAGGAGGGACCGGUGCAGGCAAUUAACAUCAACUGUUAGGACACUGAUUGCAGAACCCUAUCUUCCAGCACAAGUCCUCCAGCUCUCCUGCCAGCUGCAAAGGAACAUUCCUGCCCCCACUCCGCUUAGCCCACUGCUUGGGGAACAGCCUGUGUUGAGCUCUCAGGGUAGAGUUAUACAAAGGUUUUAUUUCCAGUGGGAAAGCCAGUUUAAGCCAGGCAGUUUCCUGCCUGCUAUGCCCUCUUGUUCUGGCUCCUUCAUCACAGCUCACUGUGCCCUUGAUUGUGCCGAUGCAGCUGUUUCUGGGCUGUGCUGUAAAUUG